UUCGGGACCGCGGCUCGACGGACGGAGAAGAAGCCCAGAGGAGGAGCCGGGAAGGAGGAGAAGGAGGAGGGAGCAGCGGGGCAGAGCGGAGUCCUAAAUAAAGUCCGGCAAAUUUAUCGGUGUAGGUCGCACGCAGUUCCGGCAGGGGGCAGCAGAAUCUAACUAAUAUGUGAUUCGUGCGUUUUUGGAAACUCUCGUCCUUCCGGUGCUAAAAUCAAACAAGGAGUCGCUGUGGCACCGUGCGACGACGGCGUGGCCUCAUGGACAGAGGGCAACGGGGGACUCGCUGUCCAGGAGACAAUGGUGCAAGCCUGCAACGCAAUGCAAGUUAGCGCCCAGCGAGGCUGCCAUUAAUCAUGCUUGACAGGGAACACUGGCGUACAGGUGGGAACGCUGCCACCGACCCUGUGACUGAUUUUAUGUUGAAGCGGAACCGGUAUGCAUCGAGACCGACGUCGCUUAGUCGAUGCGAUCACAUCUGAUUCACUCACUAAGGCUUGAAAGAGGCGUUGAGGUCUGUACGUAGGUUUGUUCCGUCAGUUCGCCUGACAAACAAAUGUUCGUUUGAGCCACAAAGUUCACCAGAAACACGGCGAGCUGCAGAGCGUUGGAGCGGCCGCGGCCUUCUGACGGCCCAGGAAUGAUUAAUGGACGUUAGAACAAAAUACCUACAUCAGUGCAAAGUGUUUCACUGCAAUCAAACUGGAUCAUUUCAUAAAUCCGGAGACCUUUCUUUGGAAGACGUGGAACAAACAACAACAACAGCAAAAAGGGGGGGAAAAACCCUGAUGAGUGAAUAAUAGGUUUGACUUUCUUUUCCUUUAAGCAGUGCAGUUGUCAGAAACAUAAUUUUGACUAAGCGGUAAUCUCUCCAGAGGGGAGGAAAAUGUAAAAAAAUAAAUAAAUAAUAAUAAAAAUACCAGAAAGCAGUGUCACAUCUCUGUUUUUAUGAAUCUAAGUUGUAUAUUCAAGUCAGUUCCAAUUUGUGGCUUAAACCGUCGUCCAAAAAAAGUAAGAGGUGCUGAAAAGUUUCCGGCUCUGCAUAAUUGUUAUGCCUGCCAGCCCUUCCUUCCCUCAGCCAAGAGUUUUUCCCACUGCUCUUUGAUUUCAUUACAAAAUCCUUCUGUGGCCCAAGGAGCCAAAUUUACUUUCAGAGAGCUAACGUGGAGAGAACUGUGCCUUAAAUCUGACAAUUUCACAAAGCAGCGAGGCUAUUUGUAAAUUUAUUAGAUUUUUUUUUUUCAGUCACGGAAUUACCACAUUAAUUUAGUUUCAUUUCCCCCCAAUUGCUAUUUGACAACAUUUUUGACCUUUUUUAGUGCAGGCUGUGGAAAAGCAUCGUCGUUAAACCUGGAAGAAAUCUGUUUCAAAUGUUGUUGCUUUUGACAUUUGUACUUUU